rnacentral:rRNA from 1 species
CUACGGGAUGCAGCAGUCGAGAAGCUUCGGCAAUGGACGAAAGUCUGACCGAGCGACGCCGCGUGAGCGAUGAAGGCCCUAGUGGUCGUAAAGCUCUGUCAGGAGGGGAUAAAUACCUGUGGCUAAUACCCGCAGGGGCUGAAGGUACCUCCAGAGGAAGCACCGGCUAACUACGUGCCAGCAGCCGCGGUAAUACGUAGGGUGCAAACGUUGUUCGGAUUCACUGGGUAUAAAGGGUUCGUAGGCGGACCUAUAAGUCAGAGGUGAAAGCCAACGGCUCAACCGUGGAACUGCCUCUGAUACUGUAGGUCUUGAGUCCGGUAGGGGAUGGUGGAAUUCCUGGUGUAGCGGUGAAAUGCGUAAAUAUCAGGAGGAACACCGGUGGCGAAGGCGACCAUCUGGGACGGAACUGACGCUGAGGAACGAAAGCUAGGGUAUCAAACGGGAUUAGAUACCCUAGUAGUC